rnacentral:rRNA from 1 species
GACGAACCGGUGCGAACGUUAUUCGGAAUCACUGGGCUUAAAGCGCGUGUAGGCGGGCCGGCACGUCGGUCGCUGAAAUCCCCCGGCUCAACCGGGGAAGGGGCGCCGAUACGACCGGCCUGGAGGGGGUAGGGGGCGCUGGAACUCACGGUGGAGCGGUGAAAUGCGUUGAGAUCGUGAGGAACGCCCGCGGCGAAAGCGAGCGCCUGGACCCUUCUGACGCUGAGACGCGAAAGCCAGGGGAGCGAACGGG